GUGGGGAAUAUUGGACAAUGGGCGCAAGCCUGAUCCAGCCAUGCCGCGUGAGUGAUGAAGGCCUUAGGGUUGUAAAGCUCUUUCGUCAGGGAAGAUAAUGACGGUACCUGAAGAAGAAGCCCCGGCUAACUUCGUGCCAGCAGCCGCGGUAAUACGAAGGGGGCUAGCGUUGCUCGGAAUCACUGGGCGUAAAGCGCACGUAGGCGGCUUUCUAAGUCAGGGGUGAAAUCCUGGAGCUCAACUCCAGAACUGCCUUUGAUACUGGAGAGCUUGAGUUCGGGAGAGGUGAGUGGAACUGCGAGUGUAGAGGUGAAAUUCGUAGAUAUUCGCAAGAACACCAGUGGCGAAGGCGGCUCACUGGCCCGAUACUGACGCUGAGGUGCGAAAGCGUGGGGAGCAAACAGGAUUAGAUACCCUAGUAGUCC
rnacentral:rRNA from 1 species